rnacentral:rRNA from 1 species
UGGGGAAUUUUGGACAAUGGGCGAAAGCCUGAUCCAGCAAUGCCGCGUGAGUGAAGAAGGCCUUCGGGUUGUAAAGCUCUUUUGUCAGGGAAGAAACGGUGAGAGCUAAUAUCUCUUGCUAAUGACGGUACCUGAAGAAUAAGCACCGGCUAACUACGUGCCAGCAGCCGCGGUAAUACGUAGGGUGCAAGCGUUAAUCGGAAUUACUGGGCGUAAAGCGUGCGCAGGCGGUUUUGUAAGUCUGAUGUGAAAUCCCCGGGCUCAACCUGGGAAUUGCAUUGGAGACUGCAAGGCUAGAAUCUGGCAGAGGGGGGUAGAAUUCCACGUGUAGCAGUGAAAUGCGUAGAUAUGUGGAGGAACACCGAUGGCGAAGGCAGCCCCCUGGGUCAAGAUUGACGC